UAAUAUCAUGAGUUUUCUCUCAAUAAUAUCAUCCAACUCACUUGGAUAUGGACAUUCAUCACCGGAAACUAACCCUCCCUUUAAUUCUUUUGCAGACUUUUCUAUAAGUUGCACAGCCUCGCAAUUCCAAAGCAGUAAAGUUAUAAGACCAGUUCCAUCCAUCACACGAACUUGGAGCCUAUACCUGAAAUACACUCUUUUAUCUCGUUAAAAUAUUAUAUUUUGUUAGAGAAAUAAAUUAAUAUAGGAUUGUAAUAACUUCUGAACAACUUUUGUUUCUGCAUUACAUUUUGUGCAAAAAUAUGAGUUAUCAUCAGGUUCAACCUUUAUAAGACACCUGUUGUUAAUUUUUUUUUUGGAAGAAGUAUAAAUCAAUGUACAGAAAGUUAAGAUAUAUUUAGAAGAGUUGUAAAUGAAACACAGUUUUUAAGUAGUGAGAGUAUUGAGGGAACUUGUAGUGAUUUGGUUCUGUUUGUGUGUGACAGUUACUGAGAUUUGAAUUUGUAAA
rnacentral:lncRNA from 1 species